rnacentral:tRNA from 1 species
GGAUUGUGGCUUAAUGGUAGAGUGCUCACCUAGCACGUGCAAGGCCCUGAGUUCGAUCCUCAGCACCA